UACGAAGGGGACUAGCGUUGUUCGGAAUUACUGGGCGUAAAGCGUGCGCAGGCGGUUAUGUAAGACAGGUGUGAAAUCCCCGGGCUUAACCUGGGAACUGCAUUUGUGACUGCAUAGCUAGAGUACGGUAGAGGGGGAUGGAAUUCCGCGUGUAGCAGUGAAAUGCGUAGAUAUGCGGAGGAACACCGAUGGCGAAGGCAAUCCCCCUGGACCUGUACUGACGCUCAUGCACGAAAGCGUGGGGGAGCAAACAGG
rnacentral:rRNA from 1 species